rnacentral:rRNA from 1 species
CGGGAGGCAGCAGUGGGGAAUAUUGCACAAUGGGGGAAACCCUGAUGCAGCCAUGCCGCGUGUGUGAAGAAGGCCUUCGGGUUGUAAAGCACUUUCAGUUGUGAGGAAGGUGGUGUCGUUAAUAGCGGCAUCAUUUGACGUUAGCAACAGAAGAAGCACCGGCUAACUCCGUGCCAGCAGCCGCGGUAAUACGGAGGGUGCGAGCGUUAAUCGGAAUUACUGGGCGUAAAGCGCAUGCAGGUGGUUUGUUAAGUCAGAUGUGAAAGCCCGGGGCUCAACCUCGGAACUGCAUUUGAAACUGGCAGACUAGAGUACUGUAGAGGGGGUAGAAUUUCAGGUGUAGCGGUGAAAUGCGUAGAGAUCUGAAGGAAUACCGGUGGCGAAGGCGGCCCCCUGGACAGAUACUGACACUCAGAUGCGAAAGCGUGGGGAGCAAACAGGAUUAGAUACCCUGGUAG